AUGCCUUAAACUAAUGAGUAAGGAAAAUAAUGGGCUUGUAGGAGUACAGGCCUCAGAGUUUCAUCUCUGAAGUAUUUCUGAGAAGGCACAGGUUGCCCCUGAGUGACCCACCUACAUUUGUGGGAUGCUCAUGGUGUAGUGAUCUUGCCUG